CACGAACGCUGGCAGCAGGCUUAACACAUGCAAGUCGAGCGCCCCGCAAGGGGAGCGGCAGACGGGUGAGUAACGCGUGGGAAUCUACCCAUCUCUACGGAAUAACGCAUGGAAACGUGUGCUAAUACCGUAUACGUCCUUCGGGAGAAAGAUUUAUCGGAGAUGGAUGAGCCCGCGUUGGAUUAGCUAGUUGGUGGGGUAAAGGCCUACCAAGGCGACGAUCCAUAGCUGGUCUGAGAGGAUGAUCAGCCACACUGGGACUGAGACACGGCCCAGACUCCUACGGGAGGCAGCAGUGGGGAAUAUUGGACAAUGGGCGCAAGCCUGAUCCAGCCAUGCCGCGUGAGUGAUGAAGGCCCUAGGGUUGUAAAGCUCUUUCACCGGUGAAGAUAAUGACGGUAACCGGGGAAGAAGCCCCGGCUAACUUCGUGCCAGCCGCCCGGUAACAC
rnacentral:rRNA from 1 species